GACGAACGCUGGCGGCGUGCUUAACACAUGCAAGUCGAACGGAAAGGCCUGCUUUCCCUUGUGGAUUGCGGGUACUCGAGUGGCGAACGGGUGAGUAACACGUGAGUGAUCUGCCCCCAACUUGGGUAUAAGCCUGGGAAACUGGGUCUAAUUCCCGAUAGGACUGCAGGGUGGUGCCUGUGGUGGAAAACGAUUUUCUAGUGGUUGGGGAUGAGCUCGCGGCCUAUCAGCUUGUUGGCGGGGUAAUGGCCUACCAAGGCGGCGACGGUAGCCGGCCUGAGAGGGUGGACGGCCACAUUGGGACUGAGAUACGGCCCAGACUCCUACGGGAGGCAGCAGUGGGGAAUACUGCACAAUGGGCGGAAGCCUGAUGCAGCGACGCCGCGUGGGGGAUGACGGCCUUCGGGUUGUAAACUCCUUUCGACCGCGAGGAAGCCACCUGGUUGGAAGGGUGGUGACGGUAGUGGUAGAAGAAGCACCGGCUAACUACGUG
rnacentral:rRNA from 1 species